UCAGACCAGGCCCGCAGUAGGAACGGCCGAACGGCCUGCGCCCCGGUGGAGCCCCGCGAGCCCCGAAUCCCUGCCUCCCUCACAGGCGGGGGUUCCUGCGAAUGCAGGACAACUGGGCCCUUGCCCUCUGCCUCAUUCUCCUAGAGAGUCUCUGUGCUGUUCGUCUCAUCUCCGGGGCUGGAGAGGUUAGACACUAAGCCACAGACUGAGUCCUGGGACAAGAUUCUCCGCAACAAAGCCAGAAUUGUUCCAGAUGCCUCUGCCCUGAGACUUGUCUGGCCUGGGCAGUUAGAACAAGGACGUGAAUCUCAAAACUGACUGGGAGUGGCAGGCCUGGAAAAGGGCCGUUGUCUCUACUGUGUGGACGCCCUGGACCUGACCACGCAGGACUAUAUGUGUAAUCCAAGCUACCCAGAAGACUGAAACAGGAAGAUCAAAGUUCAAGGCCUGCUAGGUCACAGAGUGCAUUCAAAGCCAGCCUGGAUAACUGAAACCCUGUCUCUAGCUACAGGCUCAGUUCACAGUGCUACUGUCAGCUUGGUGACCCGAGACUUCCCUCACCCCUACGAGCAGUUCUCUCUGCUCCAUCAACUCAAGGUCACAGCUUAGCACGGGUGAGUCCCUUACAGCCUUGCUGUGGUGGUCAGCGUGGUCGCAGAUUUCUGUGACCAGGAACUGAGCAAAGCCUGGAGAGACGCAACCAGGCAGGAGCGGAUUAUCUGAGGGCGGGGCCUGGGAGAGAUGAGAAUGGAUUAAGGCAGAAGAAAGAAGUUCUUCAAACUUAAGAGUCUUUUGGGUUACACAGAAAGGAUACUUUAAAAAAUAUCCUAAAACUAAAACAAAUAAAAAAAAUUUCAACAAAAUCCAAUUUAAUCUAAGAAUGCAAAAAAGAAAGAAAGAAAGAAAGAGAGGAAGAAAGAUGAAAAUAAAAGAAAGAAAUCAAGAAAGCUGUCCAUUUUAACAUUGCCUCCUGGAUGGAGGGGAGGACAUCAGCAAGAGAAUGAGGAACCCCCACUUUAGGACCCCAGGGCCUUUGACAGGACCGUGAAAAGGAUUCAGCCCCGGACCAACAUAGUUUUUUAUCUGUUUAUCAAUGAACAAAUUUCGUCCUACUGGAGAUUCAGAAAUAAUCACAGUAGCAGUCUCGGCAGCAUGUGCCAGGAGACAAGCUCUGAAGAGGACAAACGAGACAGGAGGAUCAAGAAUUUGAGGCCAGCAUGGGCUUUACCUGGGCAGUGUUGCUCAAGUUUGAAAUGCUAGCCCUUGGGAGUAAAAAGGGCUGAUGAGGAGCUCAGGCCCAUCCUGCUGGCUAUGCUGUCAGUUCCAGACCAGGCAAAGCUAUGUGAGACCUUAUCUCAAUAAACAAAAUUAAACGCCAAAAGAAAAA